CAGCCGCCGCGGGAAUACGGAGGGUGCAAGCGUUAUCCGGAUUUUUUGGGUUUAAAGGGUCCGUAGGCGGAUCUGUAAGUCAGUGGUGAAAUCUCACAGCUUAACUGUGAAACUGCCAUUGAUACUGCAGGUCUUGAGUAAAUUUGAAGUGGCUGGAAUAAGUAGUGUAGCGGUGAAAUGCAUAGAUAUUACUUAGAACACCAAUUGCGAAGGCAGGUCACUAAGAUUUAACUGACGCUGAUGGACGAAAGCGUGGGGAGCGAACAGGAUUAGAUACCCCCGUAGUCCCUGUCUCUUAUCC
rnacentral:rRNA from 1 species